AUCUACAGUCAUGCUACCCUGAACAAGCCUGAUCUCGUCUGAUCUCGGAAGCUAAGCAGCAUCAGGCCUGGUUAGUACAUGAAUGGGAGACCACCUAGGAAGACCAGGUGCUAUAGGCG
rnacentral:rRNA from 1 species